rnacentral:rRNA from 1 species
GUGCCAGCAGCCGCGGUAAUACAGAGGGUGCAAGCGUUAAUCGGAUUUACUGGGCGUAAAGGGCGCGUAGGCGGUUAUAUGAGUGUGAUGUGAAAGCCCUGGGCUUAACCUAGGAAGUGCAUCGCAAACGAUAUAACUGGAGUAUAUGAGAGGGUGGUGGAAUUUCCGGUGUAGCAGUGAAAUGCGUAGAUAUCGGAAGGAACAUCGAUGGCGAAGGCAGCCACCUGGCAUAAUACUGACGCUGAGGCGCGAAAGCGUGGGGAUCAAACAGGAUUAGAUACCCUCGUAGUCC